ensembl:lncRNA
GUUUCUGGGUGAAUGAGGUAAUGUGCUGAGUGCUGACUCUUUCCUGAAGACAGGUCGGUAGCCAGUUCAAGAUGGAUGUUACGGGUCCAGUGGUUGACUGCUCUUUCCUGCAGGGGCCAUUGUUCUGGCAACCAAGGGCAGAGAAAAGGACUCCGUAACAAUUAGUCUUUCUGGGACCCGAAGCACCGGAUGGUGGGAGGGCUUCUUCUCUCUAAAGGCGCGGUGAUGUGGCCGGUAUGGAAAGGGUGGUCACACAUGGAGGAGGAGACUAGAAACUGCCUUUUCUUUUGCAAGAAUGAAAUGCACAGCCCUGGGUAUGGUGGCUGGAGCAUACGUGGCUUAGAGGCUGAUGAAAAGGAAAACACAUUUAGAGCAAUCAUUGAGAUAAGAAAGAUACAAAUUAAAAAUAGUUGAAUUUAGGUAAACAAAAUUAAUUAAACUCUUAAUUCAAGUAGUAUUUAUAUGAAGUGCCUGCCAUGUGUCAAACACUGCCUAGAUUAGAAAUCAUAUAGAUAAUAAGAUAGCCUAUAUCCUGCAAGAGCUCAUUAUCAUCUAGGAAAGAAAGAUAUAAAAAUAAAUAUUUGCAAGAGUUUGAAAAUGGAAGAUUCAGAAGUGGGAGUGAAUAAAUCUAGCCAUUAAUAAGCAUUGAUACACCAAUUUAUAUGAACAAACCAAAGCUCCAACAAGUUAGUUCACAUUUGCAAUGUUAUACAGCUGGCAAGGAAGUGAUGGAUUCAAACUGGAAUGCAAAGCCAAUCUUAGUGGCUUUGCCUCUAUCUAAAAUCUAACUUUUUUCCUCCUCAUUAUACAGUCAGCAAAUAUUUAUCUAACAACUACCAUUAGCAAGGCACUGUGAUACUAGGCUAAGGAAAUAGUAUAAGCAUAUUUCAUUUAGCCAUCACUCAAAGCAGGUAUAGCCUAGUGUUUAAGCCCAUUGACUGUCUGAUUUCAAAUUUCAACAUCUCUCUCUAAGCAUGACCUAAGGCAAAGUUAAUUUAACCUCUCCGUGGUCAUCACAUGCACCAUGGGAAUCCCUAUCACAUAGAAUGGUUAGGAGAAGUAAAUGAAAUUAUAUAGUGCCUAAUUCAUAGUAAGUGCUCAAUAAAUGUCAGCAAUAACUAUUGUUAUAAAACUGCCUUGCACUUCUAUAUAGGAUCUUGGCAUUUUGGUAUGAUUUUGUUAACUACAUGUAUAGAAAUAAGAGCCAUCAAAAUGGACAGCAAAUUAAGGACUAGGGUUAGCAUCUCGUGAUGAUAAUAUGUAUAAACAAUUAGCCAGAAAGUUGUUAUCACCCCCAAAGUUACUGUGUGAUGUUGGCUAAAUAGUUGUCAACAACAAAAGGCAUUUCUAGAAUAAAUUCUGGAUGAGUUGUUAUGUCACCUGAUUCUAUGAAUAUCAGUCCCAUUGGUAUUCUAAUUACUUAGGUUUGUUUUUCUUUUUUUUCUAAUUGAAGUAACAUUGGUUUAUUAUGUUAUGUAAAUUUCAGGUGUACAUCAUGAUAUUUCGACUUCUGUAUAAACUACAUCAUGUUCAUGGACUUUAUGUAAAAAAUUGUUGACACCACGCUUUUAACAAAAGCUUUAAAAAAGUUUACCAGAACUGGAACAUUUGCAAUUUUCUCUUAUGAUUAAGAUUGAAAAGAAAAGGGAAGAAAAAGGCACAAAAUAGUAGUAAAUACAAUUUAUUCUCAUGACUGUUUAUGGUAGUGAAGCGCCUAGUUAAGCUGACCUGUGGUUUUCUCUUCUAACCUCUGUUUUCACUUACCUGUAAAAGAUUAUUGUUUGAAGCUGACAUUUCUUACCUCUGAUUUAUAAGUGAAGGGCAAUAUGUAU